rnacentral:rRNA from 1 species
UGGGGAAUAUUGGACAAUGGGCGCAAGCCUGAUCCAGCAAUGCCGCGUGGGUGAAGAAGGUCUUCGGAUUGUAAAGCCCUUUCGGCGGGGACGAUGAUGACGGUACCCGCAGAAGAAGCCCCGGCUAACUUCGUGCCAGCAGCCGCGGUAAUACGAAGGGGGCUAGCGUUGCUCGGAAUGACUGGGCGUAAAGGGCGCGUAGGCGGUUGGUACAGUCAGACGUGAAAUUCCUGGGCUUAACCUGGGGGCUGCGUUUGAUACGUGCUGGCUUGAGUGCGGAAGAGGGUCGUGGAAUUCCCAGUGUAGAGGUGAAAUUCGUAGAUAUUGGGAAGAACACCGGUGGCGAAGGCGGCGACCUGGUCCGUGACUGACGCUGAGGCGCGAAAGCGUGGGGAGCAAACAGGAUUAGAUACCCUGGUAGUCCACGCCGUAAACGAUGUGUGCUGGAUGUUGGGCGGCCUAGCCGUUCAGUGUCGUAGCUAACGCGAUAAGCACACCGCCUGGGGAGUACGGCCGCAAGGUU